rnacentral:ncRNA from 21 species
UGGUAGAUGCACCCUGAUAACUAAUCCCCCCUAGUCGGCUAAAACCUCUGGGGGUUUUUUCU